AUGCGGGGGGAAUGGUCAAAAAUCAACUCCCAACCCCACCCACCCAGAGCACCACCAGCGCGAAUCCUGCGUUUUCUCUCUCCGCUCAACAAACGCCCCGAAGACAUGGCGGCCGCAGAAGCCUCCACGCAAGCGCACGUCUACGCACACAGCACACCCACUCUUCAAAGUUCAGACCACCAUGAGAUCAGACACUGCCUGCGGGCCGCAGUCCCGGACUCACCUAACGCCGUCACUACUCGUGGUUCUUUUGCACGUGCUCUGUUCGACAAAGUCAAACAAUGUUUUACAUCCGCGCUGCUCUUCAUUAUUUAA
rnacentral:rRNA from 1 species